rnacentral:rRNA from 1 species
UACGAAGGAUUCGAGCGUUAUCCGGAUUUAUUGGGUUUAAAGGGUGCGUAGGUGGACUAGUAAGUCAGUGGUGAAAGCCCGCAGCUUAACUGCGGAACUGCCAUUGAUACUGCUAGUCUUGAGUACAGUUGAGGUGGGCGGAAUGUGUCAUGUAGCGGUGAAAUGCUUAGAUAUGACACAGAACACCGAUUGCGAAGGCAGCUCACUAAGCUGUAACUGACACUGAGGCACGAAAGCGUGGGGAGCAAACAGG